rnacentral:misc_RNA from 1 species
CACACUGCGCGAUACCUGCUGAAACAGCAGGUAUUAGCACAGCCAACCCUUGUCUAUUACUACCAUUCGUGAAUCCCUCGGCAGGGACGCCUGCCGCCGGGACCCCUAAACUCUACUGUAUACAAGCAUCAAAACAUUCUGAAUCAAAAACAAUUAUUA